AAGUCGUAACAAGGUUUCCGUAGGUGAACCUGCGGAAGGAUCAUUAUAAAGCACCCCUAACGGGGCCGCCUUCAUUCUUGCCGUCUUACCUUGCUUUGGCGUAAAGCCACUAGCUCCCACACUCUGUCUGUCCCAUUCUUAACUAUAAAAACUUUCAACAACGGAUCUCUUGGUUCUG
rnacentral:misc_RNA from 1 species